rnacentral:tRNA from 1 species
GAGGUUAGAGCAUCGCAUUUGUAAUGC